AAGGAGGGCAAAAUGUGAAAGACCAAAGAGUGAUGAGAGAAGAGAGGAAAGAAGGAAUUUGAGAGUGAAAGGAAGAUGGUGAAGGUGAGGAUACAGAAUCGAAAAGGAGGGAAAGAUGUGGAGAAGAGAAAAAAAAAUGUGAGUAUGUGCAAACGGAGAUAUAAAUAGAACUGAGGACUUUAAACCGUCACAUCACUCCCAGCGGCGGCGUUUCAUUUCCCCCGACACAAAUCAAAAUACCCAAACGCUUCAUCAGUGUCUGUGGUUAUAUUCAGCCAUAGCAACACUUUAUUCCUUUACACAGGUUAACUUGUUAUCACAGUGUCUGCUUUGCGAUGCCUCCACUGCUCUGUGGUUACCACAGUAACGGCAGGUCUAUUUUGGAGUCGAGGCCAACGUGAUGCAGAGGACACAUUUCAACAGUUUGUUUCUUUCUGCAGUUGUCGAUCUCUCACCCACCGUAUAUUAGGCAGCAAAAAAAGAGGACACUUUUUCUGCUUUUGACAUUAAAGGGCUGUUUAAGAUUUAAGACUUAUGUUGGUAGAGGUUUAGCUUAAGUUUAGAGUGAGGGCUGGGUAGGGCAUGUGUUUGAGUGAAAGUCCGUCAGACAGUCUCGCCAAUCUGCAUGUCUGAAGUAAAUCAAAUUUAAACUCAAUUCUGUUUUUAAUCUGUCGGCCGUCCUGCAGUUUUUUUUGUUUUCUCUGAAGUCGAACACAAAUUGGAUCUUAUCGGACUUUCCAAGAAUCACAAACCAGGAAUUCAGUGAAACAGACAAGAGCUCACUGUCUGUGUUUUCGCAUCUUCAUAAACUGACGUAGGAUUCACUCCUUAAGAGUCUAUAUUCUCUUCACAAGUGGUUCCAGUUGGAUUAGCAGCUAUACAAGAAACCCUUUCAAAAAUCUAUUUCUACUUCAAGAAUUAGUUUGCCCAAUCAGUUUUUCCUCUCACUCUUAACACACUGUGUUUGUGCUAUUCUAAAAGUUACUCUACUGGCCCCAUUUAACACUGAAGGAGGGUAAAUGACAACAGAACCGACCAAAUCUCAUCCCAGUUAACCCUGACAUUUACAGAGGCAGCAGGUGAGCACUGUGGAGGUCCACAGCUGAGCAGCAUAACAUUUACUAAUCGGCCUUUUAUCUCAUCAGGACAAUCGUCUGAGUCGUGCUGAAGACUGAUGCAGUAAAGUGAGAGACAAAAAAGAAGGAAGAAGAAGAAGAACUGGUUCGCUUUCAGACAUGUUGUACUGUACUCACUGGAUAUUUCGUCCGACUCCAACUUAAAGCUGGAGAUGUCGUCCCCAGAAACACUAUCACCCUCUGCGCCCACGCCGCGCCCCCGGGGGCCCAUGGCAGAGCUCCGUCUGCGCUCAUGGAUCUCGUCCGAGAUCAUCUCCAGGUUCCUAAGGGCCGUCUUAUAAUCCCCUUUGGCUUGAGACAGCUUGGCCUGCCGCUCGUCCACGAUUUUCUUCAGGUUCUGGAGGCGAGAGGAGGGUGAUGAUGGAGGUCAUGACAACAGAUAGAAUAAUGCUACCAGACUGCACAGAUUCUCAUUCUGUGAUCUGGCUUCAACAUGUAGUGAGUAUGAUUAGACUUUAGAUACUGAUGAGUGAAACCUUUUAAAUAAAGCCAACUGCUUCAAAUCUC